rnacentral:rRNA from 1 species
GACGAACGCUGGCGGCGUGCCUAAUACAUGCAAGUCGAGCGGACCGAACAGGAGCUUGCUCUUGUUCGGUUAGCGGCGGACGGGUGAGUAACACGUGGGUAACCUGCCCGUAAGACCGGGAUAACUCCGGGAAACCGGAGCUAAUACCGGAUAACACCGAAGACCGCAUGGUCUUUGGUUGAAAGGAGGCUUCGGCUGCCACUUACGGAUGGGCCCGCGGCGCAUUAGCUAGUUGGUGAGGUAACGGCUCACCAAGGCGACGAUGCGUAGCCGGCCUGAGAGGGUGACCGGCCACACUGGGACUGAGACACGGCCCAGACUCCUACGGGAGGCAGCAGUAGGGAAUCUUCCGCAAUGGACGAAAGUCUGACGGAGCGACGCCGCGUGAGCGAAGAAGGUCUUCGGAUCGUAAAGCUCUGUUGUUAGGGAAGAAGAAGCGUCGUUCGAACAGGGCGGCGCGGUGACGGUACCUAACGAGAAAGCCCCGGCUAACUACGU